ensembl:lncRNA
AUGAAACGUUUGGAGAAGAAUGUUUCUCUUUUGCUCUUUCUUGUGUGAAUUCUAUAUAGGUCAGCGACUCUCAAACUUUGGGAUGAAAAUGAGCCCCUUUGGGGAGCGCAUCCUUGCCACCGUGCCCGCACUUACCGCUGCGCCCAGGCACCUACCACUAUCUACGAUCCUAAGUUGGCCUUGGAGAAGGGGCAUGCUAACAGAAGCCUCGCAUUGCUCUUCACCACCUCAGUGGACCUUCGUGCCAACCAUGGAUGUUAACGCUUUUGAUUGACCCUGACGGGAAAACGGAUCCUUGAAGGCAAAAAGCUCAAGCCUAAAACACAGGAUUUGGGCUCCUCCGUCCCUUCCACACGAAGCUCUGUCGGGCCUAGAACAGAUUGUAGGAGAUCGCAUCUCGCCUUUCUCACCGGGAUUUCUGCCUCGAGGACCCACUUGCAUCCUGUGCCAAAUCCUGAUGGAUCACAAUACAGCACCGGUCCUGCACCCUGUGUCACAGCCUACACCUGAAAACCACAUCACGGAAGGAAAACCAGCAAUCUUUUAACUGAUUGCAAAGUCCAUCGAUGAUAUCAACCUAAAUCCGCCCUCAACCGAAAAUUCCCAAAAUGUUCCCAGCCACUCCAAGGCCUCCUGCCAGGAGAGCAGAUGAACCUUAUUGACGCCGGGCUGUGAAGGGAAAACUGGGGACGCUUAAGAGUAUUCAGAUAAUUGAAGCUGCAAAACCAUGUCGUCUAGAUCAAUUAAAAAAUCUUCCUGGCUACAUGCAUUUGCAUAUUUCUAUUCAUUCCCCACUUCCCUUGGACUAUAUGAUCUCCAGGCAGCUCUUAAUGACAACAGCCCUUCAUUACCAACCACAACUGACGCGGACGCACCGCAGUUGACCUCAGUGAAAAACCCAGUAUUUCUCUGGAAGAAGACGGGAACAAGGCGAGCGCCUUCUCAAAAUAUCCUGAAAAGCAGGAUCAAUUUCUGAGGAAAAGGACCAACUAUGCGACAGGCACUGAGGAUGACCUGAAGUCUGUGGGAGAAGCAUCCAAGAGCUAGAUCAAGCCUCCUAAAGGGGGGGACAGUCCCGCUGCUGUCCCCAACCUCCCUCUUAGGAGAUUGAUGGGAGAGACCCGUGCUGUAACUCUUUCUGCCGAUGGGGAGACGGGUGGUGUAAGCCUCCCUGGAGCACACACUGACUUCUUUCUGCCUCACUGGAUAACUCGUUUUAACAGACAACUUCUGGAGAUAAUGUGAUUUACCACUUUUCGAGGAAAAAGGUCGUCGUCUUCGUGGAAAGUUUGUGAUGACGUUGAAAGGAGGCGGCGCAAGACGACCUCAGAGGCAGCACAGAUGCAACACUCCAGACCCUGAGCGCUGGGCCCUGAAAUCGGGCAAGACACUGUUCAUGGCUGAUUGUUUUACACGUGCCUCUCUUUAGAAUUCUCUCAAAAUAUCAGGACGCCUGGCAAGCCAGCGCAUUUUCCCUCAGGGCAGCGAGUAGCUGAAGCUGCCUCUUUCGUCUUAGGACUGGUCAGAUUCGCUGAUUUAUUUCCUCCCUGAAGCCCCGGGAUGGGACCACGAUGCAGAGGAGUGACCAGAGGACCUCGGACAGUAAGUUGCUGCACCAUCUGGAGGAGGGGACAGAGGUCGCUUCGCAUCUGGACACCAAGGGACCUUGCGGCUGGCGUUGGGGACGGGAAACCCCAAGCCGUGAUCUGUGUGGAUGGACGGGGGACCAAGCAGGCAGCACUGGAUGCCAAAGAGUGAACACGUGGUGGCCAAGAUUGGAAGCCCCCAGAGCCUCAGCGUCACCAGGGAAUGGAAUGAGGACAGGAGCACAUUGGGUCGUGGUAUCCAAAGCGUUCAAAGUUGUUUCUGAAGAGGUAUGCACACCUGAAGAUGCAGCCUGGGGUCCACGCUUUCCACAGUGUGGAUGGAGGCCUCAUAGUAAAAGACUUUUCCUCUGCGUCUCCCUACUGACCGCCUCCUUUUCUCUAAGAGUUUUAGCCAUCUCCUGACACACCUGAUGGCCAAAAAGAAGAGUUGCCCAUACGUAAGCGCCACCCAGAGAGUUGUUUGCUCUCGUUAGUGCUGCUGUUCUGCAAACGACAAUCGUUGCCUCCAUCUGUGCAGCGCGUGGCAGGAUGUGCUUGUCUCCGCGCCGCAGAAUGUCAGCAGGAGCCCAGGCCAUUGCUACCAAGGAGAAACCCAAGCUGCAAAACAGAGAGGAGGAAACACAAGAUAUUACCUGUGACGCGGGAGGAGGGAACACUUUCUUCGGGCACAAAAAUCCCUCCGCUUUUGCUCGAGAAGCAAAUACAGACUCUAAGCUGGCUGCAAAGGCUGCCGGGCUGAGCUGAGCUCCUACCUCCUCCGCCCCCACUCCCCCUUUCCGCCCAUGGGCACUGCUUCAGCCCCACGUGCAGCAAGCCCACUUUGGGGCUUUGCCCUUGCCUGGCAUGCUGUGACCUGUGCCUGGGUGGCAGGUGUUCAUGGUUGAGGCCUCAGCUUUAAUGUCACCGCCUCGGAAAAGCCUCCUCUGACUGCGCCAUGCUAUAGGCUCUGGGCUUUGGCCUGACCUGCAGUUUAAGCACAAUGCGAAAUGAUCACAUCUGUUUGCCGACUCGUUUACUGUUUUCUGCCCUAGAAAGUUUCAUUAGAGCAGGGUUCCAACCUCCAUUCUGCACUGUAUUCCCAGCACAGGGCACACAGUUGGUCCUCAAUAAAUGUGUGUUGGAUGGAUGAAGAACUAAAUAAAAGAGAGGCUUGUCUACAGAACAGAGGGUUUGCUACGCUUCAAAGCAGGAUUGAACGAAGCGAGAGAAGAAGGAGCUAAGAGACAGAGUCACAAGAGCCUAAGAAUAAGAGCAGGAGGCUUCCCCUCAUCUGGGCAGGGCUGCUCAGCCACCUGCUCCAUCACCUUUCCCAUCAUUGCAGCUUCAAGCUCAGCAGAACAUUUUAAAGGCAAGGGUGCCAGGGGUUGGAGUCAGCCACUUUGCUCCCUCCAGCCCACCUCUGCGCUGAGCUCCAGCUGCUCAUUCCCUGCAAAGAGCCUGGAGGCCACAGCAUCCUCCCUGCGGCCCAGCAGCGCCAGGAUGUAGCCACAGGACCUCCUGGCCUUGUCACCUCUGCCUCCUUCUCCCGCUGGGCCUGGUAAUUCCUGGCUCCUGGAGCUCCCUUAGGAGACUGGAUCCAGGGUUUACGUCCAACAGUGGGCUCUGGGGUGACCUUAGUCCUCAGCAGAGCCCGCCUUUACGAGGGCUCACUGGCCAAGGCGAGCUCUCUGUGUACAGUCUUCCCUUUAACCUCACCGUCCCUCCAGGAGGCAGCUGUUCUUGUUCUCCCCAUUUCUCAGACGAGCAAGCUAAGGCUUAGAGAAUUAAACAAGCUUCUAGCCCCACAAAGCUCAGCAAAUGAUAGAAAGGGCAUUUAAACCUCAGUCUGAAUGCCUUUAAGUGUUGUUACCCCCACACGAGUAAAAUUAUGCUUUAAACUUUCUUCCUGACUU